rnacentral:rRNA from 1 species
UCGGGAAUUUUGGGCAAUGGGGGAAACCCUGACCCAGCAACGCCGCGUGAAGGAUGAAGUAUUUCGGUAUGUAAACUUCGAAAGAAUAGGAAGAAUAAAUGACGGUACUAUUUAUAAGGUCCGGCUAACUACGUGCCAGCAGCCGCGGUAAUACGUAGGGACCAAGCGUUGUUCGGAUUUACUGGGCGUAAAGGGCGCGUAGGCGGCAUGACAAGUCACUUGUGAAAUCUCUGGGCUUAACCCAGAACGGCCAAGUGAUACUGUCGCGCUAGAGUGCAGAAGGGGCAAUCGGAAUUCUUGGUGUAGCGGUGAAAUGCGUAGAUAUCAAGAGGAACACCUGAGGCGAAGGCGAGUUGCUAGGCUGACACUGACGCUGAGGUACGAAAGCUAGGGGAGCGAACGGGAUUAGAUACCCCCGUAGUCCCUGAGCGGGCUGGCAAGGCGCAU